CAAAGGUUUGGUCCUGACUUUACUAUCAAUUCUAGCCUAAUUUACACAUGCAAGUCUCCGCCUCCCCGUGAGAAUGCCCUUAAUGUCCCUUCCGGAAUUAAGGAGCAGGCAUCAGGCACACCAAUGUAGCCCACAACGCCUUGCUAAGCCACACCCCUACGGGUAUUCAGCAGUGAUAAAAUUUAAGCCAUAAGUGAAAACUUGACUUAGUUAGGGCUAAGAGGGCCGGUAAAUCUCGUGCCAGCCACCGCGGUUAUACGAGAGACCCAAGUUGAUAAAAAACGGCGUAAAGCGUGGUUAAGAAAAUUAAACUAUAGGGUUGAAUGGCCUCAAUUUAGUUAAAUGCACUCGAAGCCGUGAAGCACAAUUACGAAAGUAGCCCUACCAAAUCUCUGACUCCACGAAAGCCAUAAAACAAACUAGGAUUAGAUACCCUAUUAUA
rnacentral:rRNA from 1 species